AACGAACGCUGGCGGCAUGCCUAACACAUGCAAGUCGAACGAGACCUUCGGGUCUAGUGGCGCACGGGUGCGUAACGCGUGGGAACCUGCCCUUAGGUUCGGAAUAACUCCCCGAAAGGGGUGCUAAUACCGGAUAAUGUCUUCGGACCAAAGAUUUAUCGCCUUUGGAUGGGCCCGCGUUGGAUUAGCUAGUUGGUAGGGUAAAAGCCUACCAAGGCGACGAUCCAUAGCUGGUCUGAGAGGAUGAUCAGCCACACUGGGACUGAGACACGGCCCAGACUCCUGCGGGAGGCGGCAGUGGGGAAUAUGGGACAAUGGGCGAAAGCCUGAUCCAGCAAUGCCGCGUGAGUGAUGAAGGCCUUAGGGUUGUAAAGCUCUUUUACCCGGGAUGAUAAUGACAGUACCGGAAGAAUAAGCUCCGGCUAACUCCGUG
rnacentral:rRNA from 1 species